CCUACCAAAAAAACAAUAAAGCCUAGAAACCUUUCCUUCUGAUGAUCUGUUGCACGAAUUCUGCAAAUAAGUUCCAAGAAGUUUUAACCAGGAAAGCCCAAAAGCCAUCGAUCUCGAUUCACUACUUCCAUCGCCGAUUUAGGUCUAUCCAGAGCCCAUUUUUGAGCCUUAACAAUCGUAGUUCUUGAAUCUCCUUCCAUCUCGGUAUGUUGUAAACCCAUUUUCAUCGCAAAUUCUAAAGCUUGGACGCAGGCUAAUGCUUCAGCAGAAAAAGCAGUUGCUACAUAUGUAUUUCUCCUCACCCCCUUCCCAAAACAAGGCCAGCUUUAUUUUUUAUUACAAAACCUAACCAUGACUGGCGGAGAUUUGGCUUGAACGCUGCAUCAAAGUUCACCUUAACAUUUGGACUUUUUAUGGAGGCUUCCACUGGGAUUUCAUGGUCUCAUUUUGUUAAGGUAAUUUCAUCUUAAUCUCAUCAAGUUCUCUUAUAAGGCUCUCAACUUUUGUGCUAAUAUCCUGGGUUGUCUGUCUUUUGCCUUCCAUCACCUAUUUAUUACGAGAUUGCCAAAGCGCCCAAACAAUAAUCGCUAUUCUGCGGCAGCUCCACAUAUUGUAAUUGCAUACACCGAAGUUUCUGGAACAGCUCCAUAUCUUGGGCAGAGUGAGGAGGAGGCAAUCCUUCUGUUGUAUAGAACAUAGGCAGUAGGAAUGUAAUCAUUUAGUAGUCGCCAAAUUGUAAUUUUGAUUUUAGAAGGCAUUUGUAGCUGCCAAAGUUUUCUGUAUAUGUCAUACCUCCCUUGUAAUGUAUUAUCUGUAAUCUGUCGACUGAGUAGAAGCCGAUAGCCGCUAGGGACAGAAUAUUCUCCCGUACUUUCCAUCGUCCAAAUGAUCUUAUCGUCCACAACAUUUCGAGA